UGUGUGUUAGUGGAAGCGUCUGGAAAGGCGCGCGAUACAGGGUGACAGCCCCGUACACAAAAAUGCACAUGCUGUGAGCUCGAUGAGUAGGGCGGGACACGUGGUAUCCUGUCUGAAUAUGGGGGGACCAUCCUCCAAGGCUAAAUACUCCUGACUGACCGAUAGUGAACCAGUACCGUGAGGGAAAGGCGAAAAGAACCCCGGCGAGGGGAGUGAAAAAGAACCUGAAACCGUGUACGUACAAGCAGUGGGAGCACGCUUCGGCGUGUGACUGCGUACCUUUUGUAUAAUGGGUCAGCGACUUAUAUUCUGUAGCAAGGUUAACCGAAUAGGGGAGCCGAAGGGAAACCGAGUCUUAACUGGGCGUUAAGUUGCAGGGUAUAGACCCGAAACCCGGUGAUCUAGCCAUGGGCAGGUUGAAGGUUGGGUAACACUAACUGGAGGACCGAACCGACUAAUGUUGAAAAAUUAGCGGAUGACUUGUGGCUGGGGGUGAAAGGCCAAUCAAACCGGGAGAUAGCUGGUUCUCCCCGAAAGCUAUUUAGGUAGCGCCUCGUGAAUUCAUCUCCGGGGGUAGAGCACUGUUUCGGCAAGGGGGUCAUCCCGACUUACCAACCCGAUGCAAACUGCGAAUACCGGAGAAUGUUAUCACGGGAGACACACGGCGGGUGCUAACGUCCGUCGUGAAGAGGGAAACAACCCAGACCGCCAGCUAAGGUCCCAAAGUCAUGGUUAAGUGGGAAACGAUGUGGGAAGGCCCAGACAGCCAGGAUGUUGGCUUAGAAGCAGCCAUCAUUUAAAGAAAGCGUAAUAGCUCACUGGUCGAGUCGGCCUGCGCGGAAGAUGUAACGGGGCUAAACCAUGCACCGAAGCUGCGGCAGCGACACUAUGUGUUGUUGGGUAGGGGAGCGUUCUGUAAGCCUGCGAAGGUGGCCUGUGAGGGUUGCUGGAGGUAUCAGAAGUGCGAAUGCUGACAUAAGUAACGAUAAAGCGGGUGAAAAGCCCGCUCGCCGGAAGACCAAGGGUUCCUGUCCAACGUUAAUCGGGGCAGGGUGAGUCGACCCCUAAGGCGAGGCCGAAAGGCGUAGUCGAUGGGAAACAGGUUAAUAUUCCUGUACUUGGUGUUACUGCGAAGGGGGGACGGAGAAGGCUAUGUUGGCCGGGCGACGGUUGUCCCGGUUUAAGCGUGUAGGCUGGUUUUCCAGGCAAAUCCGGAAAAUCAAGGCUGAGGCGUGAUGACGAGGCACUACGGUGCUGAAGCAACAAAUGCCCUGCUUCCAGGAAAAGCCUCUAAGCAUCAGGUAACAUCAAAUCGUACCCCAAACCGACACAGGUGGUCAGGUAGAGAAUACCAAGGCGCUUGAGAGAACUCGGGUGAAGGAACUAGGCAAAAUGGUGCCGUAACUUCGGGAGAAGG
rnacentral:rRNA from 1 species